rnacentral:rRNA from 1 species
GAUGAACGCUGGCGGCGUGCUUAACACAUGCAAGUCGAACGGUGAAGGCGGAGCUUGCUCUGCUGGAUCAGUGGCGAACGGGUGAGUAACACGUGAGCAAUCUGCCCCUGACUCUGGGAUAAGCGCUGGAAACGGCGUCUAAUACUGGAUACGAGCUGCGAAGGCAUCUUCAGCAGCUGGAAAGAAUUUCGGUCAGGGAUGAGCUCGCGGCCUAUCAGCUUGUUGGUGAGGUAAUGGCUCACCAAGGCGUCGACGGGUAGCCGGCCUGAGAGGGUGACCGGCCACACUGGGACUGAGACACGGCCCAGACUCCUACGGGAGGCAGCAGUGGGGAAUAUUGCACAAUGGGCGAAAGCCUGAUGCAGCAACUCCGCGUGAGGGACGACGGCCUUCGGGUUGUAAACCUCUUUUAGCAGGGAAGAAGCGAAAGUGACGGUACCUGCAGAAAAAGCGCCGGCUAACUACGU